CCCUAAUGCUUACUGAUGGAACAGAAUAAAAAGGUUCUUCUUUGAAGAUGCAUGUUUGGAUGGAUUCAUUCAAUUAAAAAAGCAACUAUUAAAUGCACCUAUUGUUGUUGCACUAGAUUGUCUCAACCUUUUGAAGUUGUGUACUAUGCAAGCUACUUUGCUGUAGGUGUUAUUCUAGGACAACACAAGGAAAAAAUAUUUCACGCC
rnacentral:lncRNA from 1 species